ACAGAUGUUUUCUUGAGAUAGAGUUGAGUUUUAAAAAAUAAAAUUACUUAAAAUACACUUUAGUGUGAACAUAUGCACAUUUAUAUGGUAUUUGACUAAAUUUUGAGAACACUUUUGUCAAACUAAAUAUGAACUGUUGAUUAUGCUUUCCCUAAAUUUGUAGUCAAAAUUUUGGUGGUGUUUUCCAUAUUAUGCUUGUAGCUCAAAACCAGAACGUAUAUGUUGGUUGAAUAAAUAGAAAUUUAAGAUUGAGCAUAUAUAGCUCACUGACUGUAAAUUAUCAACCUAGCUAUUCUUCAGUCCUUCGUAAAAACAUUAAGGAUCGAAAGAGUUGGAACAAACAACUUGAAGCAUUACUGUUUAGGAGAAAAUCUUUGUUGGUUUAGUGGUUGUAUAUUGAUGAUGCGGUCUUCCAGGUGGACACAAAAGUGAUUGCAAAUUAGAAACAUUAAUCUAAAGCAUACCUUGUCCA